rnacentral:misc_RNA from 1 species
AAAAGUAAUGAUAUAUAAAAUGGGGGAACUAAUCACUAGAGGCGCCUUUUGGUGGAAUGGCCUAGAGAGUUGGAAGAACUCUAGGGGUUAACAUGCUCACUUAAGAGAAAUCCUAGGAUGGGUGACCUCCUGGGAAGUUCUCCAUUCCACCUAUGGGACAAAACUGUGAGGCUUAUGGCCAAAGCGGACAAUUCCUCUAGUGGUUAAAAGCAGAGCAUUACAGAUGGUAUCAGAGCUGGACCCCCUCCAGUAAAUGUAUGGUUCGAGGAUCAACCAGAUGGAAGCUGGUAAGCCUGUAACAUCCCGUGCGGCAAGAGAAAAUAAUCUGCGAUUGGAGGUGGGGCCUCGCUUGAGACCUUGACCAAAUGGGAGGCAGGAAUGAACCAAAUCAUACAUUGAAAUGGGAAAACCAAUCACUAGAGGCGCAUUUUGGUGGAAUGGCCUGG